GAUGAACGCUAGCGGCAGGCUUAACACAUGCAAGUCGAGGGGUAGCAGGAUUUAGUUUACUAGAUUGCUGACGACCGGCGCACGGGUGAGUAACGCGUAUACAAUUUGCCUUUUACUGGAGGAUAGCCAAGAGAAAUUUUGAUUAAUACUCCAUAGUAUUAUUAGAUCUCCUGAUUUGAUAAUUAAAGCUCCGGCGGUAAAAGAUGAGUAUGCGUCCUAUUAGCUAGAUGGUAAGGUAACGGCUUACCAUGGCGACGAUAGGUAGGGGUCCUGAGAGGGAGAUCCCCCACACUGGUACUGAGACACGGACCAGACUCCUACGGGAGGCAGCAGUGAGGAAUAUUGGGCAAUGGAGGCAACUCUGACCCAGCCAUGCCGCGUGCAGGAAGACUGCCCUAUGGGUUGUAAACUGCUUUUAUACAGGAAGAAACUUAUCCACGUGUGGAUAACUGACGGUACUGUAAGAAUAAGGACCGGCUAACUCCG
rnacentral:rRNA from 1 species